AUGAAAUAAUAGAUCAUUUAGUUUUCAAAUCAAUAAAAAUUCAAAAUUUAUGUAGAAAAAACUGUAAAGCUAUCUGCCAAAAACAAUUAACCAAGAUCUUGUCUGUAAUAGAAGCUAAAAUAAAAAAUUCAAAAAUACACUUAGAAAUACUCAAGAAUAUAUUACCCUAUGCAUAUAUUUCACAUAAUAAUAUAUAAGAAGACAAAAUAUAACAUAAAAUACCAUUUUUAUAAUAAAAUAUGCAAUAUUCAUUUCUCUCUAUAUUGUGCUAAUAAUUUAUUAUUCAGCUUCUUUAUACUAUCACACCUUUCCACAGCAAACAUUCAUUUUUUUAAAAAACAUUCAAAAAUUUCAAUUUUAGCAUCAGGAAUAGUGUCCUACUUGUGAUGAUCCAUGGUGGUCAUCUGUAAGUUCUUCUGAAUUUGAAUUGUCGUGGUGCCUGACAGGGGCUUCAUCUCAUUAUCCUUUUGUAGCUAACCUUACCCUCUCUCCUAACAGGGGCAUAAUACAGUUAGUAGGUACUUGUCUCAUUAUAGCUACUUCAGUGAUCAAGGCAUUUCUUGAGACAAGGCAGAUGUUUCUCAUUAAUUUAUUUUACUUGAUUAGAUCAAAACUAUGAAAUAGAAAUAUUUAUCCAAGUUGAAACCAGCCUGGUCUGAAUUAGUCAUGCUAAUAACUAGAUAAGCCCCAAACUGGUGGUUAGGGAGAUUUCUCUAUAUUGGCUGUUGCUGUUUCGUUUCUUCUCUUAUUCCUUUAAAAAAAUUGUUGAUUUUGCAAUGUCUUGUAAAAAUUUCUACCAUUGUAGAAGCUGAAUAACCUUUGUGUCACUUUCGUUUUUUGGUUGUCUUUAAGUGUAGCUUAAUAGUUUUUUUUUUUCUUCCAGGUAUCAUGUUCUUACUUGAUUGGGGACAGUUAUACUGUAUUUGUUAUGUUUUCAGGUUGGGCAUUAAGAAGCACAUUUCUGUGCUUGUAGGAACACAGGUAGAGAUCACUAGACAGAGGAGCAGUUCGAACAAUGACAAGAGAAAGACACAGUAUAUGGGUUCAGGGACCAUCAAAAUGAGGUCAAAGCGGGACUCCAGAGUCUCUUGAAAGUAUCAAAGCAGAUUUAAAAUUUAAAGCUAAAGUCAAGGUGCUACUUAAGAACUAUGGGAUUUGUCCUUUAUUUAGCUAUCACCUGAGUGGUUUAACUAAGGGAAUUAACAUGAAGAGAGGACAGUGAGUUUCUUUUGUGUAUAUGGAGACAAUGAUACCAUUCAGAAAACCAUAGGAAACAGGGAAUGUAUGUGAGCUGGCAACUCUGGACCCAGGCUCCACUUAAAGGGGAAGCUGGAAGAAAGGGAAAGGGAAGUUGAAAGGAAGAGUCAGGGAGAUUAAGAAAGAUUCUCAAAAAAGCAAAGAAUCCACUACUGAAUGAUUAAUAAAUACUUGAUCAAGAAUGGAGAGCAAAGAGGAGAGUGACUCUCCUGAUGUCAUUGGAAUGAGACCCUGGGGAGAGGAAGACAGACAACACAAGGACGUGAUACCAUCAGGUCCUCUGGCUCAGGGAUACAUUGUCUAGGGCCUGUUACAUAGGACCAUGUGAAGAUGGUUUGAUUUAUUUUUAAGUUGAAGAAAAUUUCUUAAUAUAUGAUAUUUGUCACCUAUCAAUGCCAUCGUAUGAUAUAAUUUUUUUUAAAUAAAGGAAGGAGCCAGCAGAAGCUAAAGAACUUAUCUCCUGAGAGGGUUGGAUUUGAAGAAGUGGAAGCAGGUCUGUAUCAUCCAGAAGAGACUAAGGGAAUGAGCAUGGUAGGGGAUGGUACACAGUGUGCAGUUGGCAGACUCUUGGUGGUCUUCCAUAAAAGAACACUAGUUAGUCAAGAGCAAGGCCAAGUGAAAUGAAAAAGGCAGUCACAAGAGCUACAGCAACAGGAAAAGAUGGUGGACAAACAAAGCAGCCAACUUACAUGAGUCUUCUGAGUUUUCUUUCAACUGUUUCCUUUGUGUACCUUGACUGAACACCACUUCUGUAAUACUGUUAUAGCUGGACAAAUUAGGGAUUGUAGUAAAUAGGUGAAUCCUGUCCAGAUGGCACCAGAGCCAAAUAAUAAUGCCUGCUAAUGCUCAGGAGAUCAUCUGUAAAGUAAUGUAUUUUAAUGAAAUGAAUAUACAUCCUGUUCGGUACUGUUUUCUACUUUCCUAGUCCUUGCAAUGGCACCCAAAGGGAGAGAAGGUAGGUGAUAUGCUAUAUUUACCUAUAUAAUUGGCUUCUUCUAGUCUUCCCUUGCAUUUUAUUUAACAUAUAGGUCUUAUGGUGUACGAGGGGAUUUGGGCAUCCAUCUUCUGGCUUCCGUGGCUUCAGUCAUCACCAUUAACCUUUAAACAUCAUUAUCUUGAAACUAUGACUCACAGAGAUUUUUCCAACCAUCACAGGCAAAUUGAAUAGGAAAUUCCUGUCUCCUUCCACUUUAUCAUUCAUUUCUUACAGUUGUAUAGUGUAGGUUGAUGUCUAUAGGUAGGUAAGGGCUGGCACAUGUUAGGUCAAGCCCAUGAUUGGAUAGUAAAAAUAUAAGGCGGGGACAAAACUUUUGUAAGGUGAAGAGAGAAGGGGAAGGAGGAGGAGAAUCAAGAUGGUGACAGAGAAAGAUGAUCCAGACCUGAGUGGUCUUGAAUUGCCAAGGUAGUUAUGCAUAUUUCUUAAGGGAUGGAUUUCUGUAGGCAAGUUUAACUUAUCUAGAUGGGCUAUUUAUAUUCUUAUCAAUUGGUUGUGAGUUUGUUGUAUGGAUGUAUUGUAGAUUGAGACUGUAACAUAUAAAUCUAAUUGUUGGGCAGUUUGUUGAGUCUUGAUUUUACUGGGUAGCUGGAACCAGAGAAUACUUGGGGGCAGCAUGAAGUUGCUGAGAUACAGAUACAGUGUCAUGUGACCCUACAGGUGCUGGCACUAGUGCAGGAUAAAACAUUACCUGUUUUUAAAUAUGUACCACAACAGUAUAGCUCUAAAAUGGUGCUUAGUAGAAAGAUCUCCUUAGUGUAGACACGUGCCUGUCAUCUGUGGAAUCAUUUUUAAAAAGUGGAUAUAAUGGUCCUUUCCCAGUGAGUAGUCUCAGAGGACAGUUUCUCUCUUUUGCUAAAACAUGGUUCCUUAUCACUUCAAUCACAGUAGUUAGAGUAAGAACCCCGGAGAUGCUGCCUGACUUCUUCCCAUCUCAGCUUUCUUAAGUGUCGACUAACCAAACUCAUAGCCAGGUAUUUUGAGACCAUUUUAAGAAUCAAAUGGAUUAACACCUGCAGAGUUCCCAGAGCUUACUGAAUGUUCAGUCAAUAUUAGUGAUUUCAAAAAUACAUAUAAUUUUUCCUUCCAAUUUUUGGUACUUGUGCCAGAAUUACAACCCCAGGGUAUGAUUUAUAAAAAAAAUGUACAAAAUAGAAGGAUUCUCAAAGGAAGUGUUCUCUGUCCCUCACUCAUCUCUUUAGUACCCAGUGAGUCCUGUGGUGCUUUGAAUAAAAAGUGUCCACAGAAUUCAAAAACGUCAACAAACUGAAGGGCCCAAGUGAGGACACCUCAGCCCCACUUGGGAGGGAGAAGAAAGCAAUCACAAGGGGAGAGGAGGAAAAGGGGAUGAUGAUGGAGAGGAAGAGGAGAACAUGAUCUGGUAUUGAGUGGGGGGAAAAGGACUGAAGCCCUGAGGGCCAACUGAAAAAAAUGGAAAAAGGCAAACUCGGAGAUAGAAGGUUGGGGGAACCCUGUAGAAUGUACCAGAGACCUGGUAGGUAAGAUAUUCUCAAGACUCAAAGGGAGGGAGAGACCUUAGGUGUACUGGCCUAGAGUAGGAAGAGAGAACUUUUAGAGCCCACCUCCAGCAGAAAGACAGGGCAUCAAGAGAGGGGGGGGUUGCCAUCCCAGAGUCAGUUUCUGUCUGAAAGAACUGCAGGGAUGAAAAUGGAGAAUAACAUGAAGAAAAGAAUGUCCAGCAGCAGGCCCAAAGUGGGAUCCAACUCAAGUGAAGGCCUCAAGGCCUGACACUACUACUGAGGCUAUGGAGUGCUCACAAAAAGGACCUAUCAUGGUUGUCCUACAAAAGACCCAACAAGCAGCUGAGUCAGAUGCAGAUAUUUGUACCUGAACAAUGGAUAGAAGGGGCUGGCCCCUGUAGUUGAAUUAGGUAAAAGCUGGAGGAAGCUGAGGAGGAUCAGCAGUCUCAACUUACCUAGACCCCUGAGAUCUCUCAGACACUGGGCCACCAACCAGGCAGCAGACACCAGCUGAUAUGAGGCCCCCAAUACAUAUACAGGUGAGGACUGCCAGGUCUGGGUUCAGUCAGAGAAGAUGCACCUAACCCUUAAGAGAUGGGAGGCCUCAUGUAGUUUAGAGUCCUGGUGGACUUGGGGGGGGGGUGAUGGCAUCCUUGUGGAGACAGGAGGUCAGGGGGGAGGUAUGCGAUGUGGAUAGACCAAGAGGGGACUAUAACUUGGAGUGUAAAAAAGGGGUGGAAAGAUUAAAUAAAAAGAAAAAAUACUAAAAAACAAAAAGGUGCCCAACUUGGUGGCCAGUUGGUGGCAUUAUGAUGGAGGUUUAGGUGGUCUAGCUCUAUCGGAGGAAUUACAUCAGUAGGGGGCACAUUUGGAGUAUACAAAUCUUCUAGUAACAGUGGUUCUCAACCUGUGGAUUGUGACCUCUUGGGAGGUCACAUGUGCAUGCCAGAUGUCCUGCACAUGAGAUAUUUAUACUAUAAUUUUUAACGUAGCAAAAUUACAGUUAUGAAGUAGCAACAAGACAAUUUAGUGUUUGGGGGAUAAGCACACAUGAGGAACUCUAUUAAGUGGUUGUAGCACUAGGAAGGAUGGGAAUCAGUGCUCUAGACUCUUCCGGUUUGCUCUCUGUCUGCUUCAUGAUUGUGUUUCAAAGUAUGAGUUUUCAGCUGCUUGGAAUAGCCACCAUGUCUGGUAUUGCCACCACUGCUUCUUGCUUAGGGAGGUUGCCUUGCUCCCUAACCGACCUUUCUCUUUGUUAGCAAUUGUCAUUCUGCAUAAUGCCUGAGUCCAUUUUAAUAAAUCUAAGGUGUUAUGCAUUGGCCUGGGUCUAAAAACAUACAAAGGCUUUUGUUAUUCUUGGUAAAGACUUUCUGUCUGUCUGCCUGGGAUGCCACCACCUCUGUCAUGACUACCCUGAAUACCUUCGUUCUGCACUUAUGAAUACACUAACUUGGUUCCUGGCCUCCCACCCACCUGUGAGGGCGUGAAACCAGCCUUUGCCUUCUUAGUCUGCCUCAUAUAUACAUAAGAGCUGAGUACAUACUGAAUCUAAUAUACAAGAGGCACACAAUGAGCAUCAGUUGAAUAAAAGUGAUUGAAAUGAUGUAUUUGACAUUUGGAAAUAGCUAGUCUUUAAACUAGAACUUUAGAUCUCAAGCACAUUGGAUAAAGGAAGAAAGCGAACUGAGCGUGUUAACACCUACUCCAUGACAAUCAAAGAUGACAGCAUCAAAGAAGAAGCUGCUAUAACAGGCCCAGCAUGUGCUAGGUGUGGAAUAAAGUUUUCCCUUUCUUGUUCCUUCUCUUUUUUAUUGUUGGAGAAGGGUAGCAUGGAGGUGGAGUCUUGCUGUAUUUCCCCAUGCUGUCUCUGAAUGCCUGUGAUCCCAAAUACCUAUGAGAGCAGGUAUGUGCACCAAGCUUUUGCCUUUUCCCUCCUGUUGCCUGAUUCAGAACUUUCUGGUCAUGAGAACUGAAGUGAUACAGGUCUAUCAAGGAAACAUUAAUCUUAUCACUUCUUUCUGGCAGGGAAUUCCAGGAGUAAUGACUAUAGUUCUACAAUAGUGACCUCUGCAUAUUUUAGCCCUGAAUGGCUAGAGCAGGUACAGUGGCAAAAGAAGAGAGAUGAUUUAUAAAAUAAGAAUUAAUCAUCCUUAUUCUCCUUACAGGGUCUCUCCAUUUCCCCUUUGGCUAUUGUCCUGAAUCUACAGUGAGACGAUUCCUAUUUCAUCACUGUGUGAGCAGAACCUUAUAGCAUUGAGAAAAUAUGGAGCUAAAACCAUCCAGUGGAAGAAAGAUAACAUUUUCAACAAAUGGUGCUGGUUCAACUGGAGGUCAGCAAGUAGACGAAUACAAAUUAAACCAUUCUUAUCACCAUGUACAAAGCUUAAGUCCAAGUGGAUCAAGGACCUCCACAUCAAACCAGAUACACUCAAACUAAUAGAAGAAAAAGUGGGGAAGACCCUAGAACACAUGGGCACUGGGAAAUUUCCUGAACAAAAACACCAAUGGCUUCUGCUCUAAAAUCAAGAAUCAACAAAUGGGACCUCAUAAAACUGCAAAGAUUCUGUAAGGCAAAGGACAUUGUCAUUACAACAAAACAGGAACCAACAGAUGGGAAAAUGUCUGUACCAAUCCUAUAUUUGAUAGAGGGCUAAUAUCCAAAAUAUACCAAGAACUCAAGAAAUCGACUCAAGAGAGCCAAAUAACCCUAUUAAAAAUGGGGUACAGAGCUAAACAAAACAUUCUCAGCUGAGGAAUAUUGAAUGGCCAAAAAGCACCUAAAGAAAUGUUCAACAUCCUUAGUCACCAAGGAAAAGCAAAUCAAAACAACUCUGAGAUUCCACCUCAUACCAGUCAGAAUGGCUAAGAUAAAAAAACUCAGGUGACAGCAGAUGCUAGAGAAAGAGGAACACUCCUCCAAUGUUGAUGGGAUUGCAAACUGGUACAACCACUCUGGAAAUCAGUCUGGAGGUUCCUCAGAAAAUUGGACACUCCACUACCUGAGGAUCCAGCUAUACAUCUCCUGGGUAUAUACCCAAAAGAUGCUCCAACAUACAAGAAAGACACAUGCUCCCCUAUGUUCAUAGCAGCCUUACUUAUAAUAGCUAGAAGCUGGAAAGAACCGAGAUGCCCUUCAACAGAGGAAUGGAUACAGAAAAUGUGGUACAUUACACAAUGGAGUACUAUUCAGCUAUCAAAAACAAUGACUUCAUGAAAUCCAUAGGCAAAUCUAUGGAACUAGAAAUUAUCAUCUGGGUGAAGUAAACCAAUCACAAAAAAAAAAAAUCACACAUUGUAUGUACUCACUGAGAAGUGGAUAUUAGCCCAAAAGCUUGAAUUACCCAAGAUACCAUCUACAGACCACAUGAAGCUCAAGAAGAAGAAUGACCAAAGUGUGUAUGGUUCAUUACUUCUUUAAACUUUGGAGCAGAGACUGAAGGAAUGGCCAUUCAGAGCUUGCCCCACUUGGAGAUCCAGCAUAUAUAUAUAUAUAUAUAUAUAUAUACAGCCAUCAAACAUUUAUAUGACUGAUGAAGCCAAGAAGUGCAUGCUGACAGGAGCCUGAUAUAGCUGUCUCCUGAUAGGCUCAGUCAGAGCGUGACAAACACAGUCGUGAAUGCUAGCAGCAAACGAAUGAACUGAGAAUGGGGUUCUUAUUAGAGGAAUUAGAGAAAAGAUUGAAAGAGCUGAAGGGACUUGCAACCCCAUAAGAACAACAAUACCAAUCAAUCAGAGCUCCCAGGGACUAAACCACUGCCCAAAGAGUACACAUGGACAGACCUAUGGCUCUAGCUGCUCAUGCAGCAGAACAUGGCCUUGUUGGGCACCAGUGGGAGGAGAAGCCCUUUGUCCUGCCAAGGCUUGACCUCCCAGUGUAGAGGAUUGUCAGGGCAGGAAGGUGGGAAGAGGUGAUUGGUUUGGGAGAGGGAACACCCUUAUAGAAGAAGGGGAGGGAGAUGGGAUAGGGGGCUUAUGGGUGGGAAACCAGGAAAGGGAAUAACAUUGAAAUGUAAAUAAAAAAUCCAAUAAAAAAAAAGACUGAGAAU